rnacentral:piRNA from 1 species
UAGGUGAGGGAUUGUUUUUAGGACCCUGGA